UACGUAGGGUGCAAGCGUUGUCCGGAAUUAUUGGGCGUAAAGAGCUCGUAGGCGGUUUGUCGCGUCGGCUGUGAAAACUUGGGGCUCAACCCCAAGCCUGCAGUCGAUACGGGCAGACUAGAGUGCGGUAGGGGAGACUGGAAUUCCUGGUGUAGCGGUGAAAUGCGCAGAUAUCAGGAGGAACACCGGUGGCGAAGGCGGGUCUCUGGGCCGUAACUGACGCUGAGGAGCGAAAGCGUGGGGAGCGAACAGG
rnacentral:rRNA from 1 species